rnacentral:rRNA from 1 species
GAGUCAUUGGGACUCUAUUAAACCUAAAGGCGCAAUGAAAGUAAAGGCCCGCCUCGCGCGGACCGAGGGAGGAUGGGUCCGUCUCCGGGCGGACCCCGCACUCCCGGGGCGUCUCGCUCUCAUCGCGAGAAGAGGCGCACCCAGAGCGUACACGCUGGGACCCGAAAGAUGGUGAACUAUGCCUGGUCAGGACGAAGUCAGGGGAAACCCUGAUGGAGGUCCGUAGCGAUUCUGACGUGCAAAUCGAUCGUCGGAACUGGGUAUAGGGGCGAAAGACUAAUCGAACCUUCUAGUAGCUGGUUCCCUCCGAAGUUUCCCUCAGGAUAGCUGGCGCUCGCCUUUGCGAGUCUCAUUCGGUAAAGCGAAUGAUUAGAGGCAUUGGGGUCGAAACGGCCUCAACCUAUUCUCAAACUUUAAAUGGGUGAGAUCUCCGGCUUGCUUAAAGCAUGAAGCCGCGAGAGAUCGGAUCACAGAGUGCCAAGUGGGCCACUUUUGGUAAGCAGAACUGGCGCUGUGGGAUGAACCAAACGCCGAGUUAAAGCGCCAAAAUCGACGCUUAUGGGAUACCAUGAAAGGCGUUGGUAACUUAAGACAGCAGGACGG